UAGGCUGUAGUUUGAUAGGAAAAUGGUGGAUUGUUGCUCCGACGAAAAUGGCCUAG
rnacentral:tRNA from 1 species